rnacentral:rRNA from 1 species
GACGAACGCUGGCGGCGUGCUUAACACAUGCAAGUCGAACGAAGUGGCGAACGGGUGAGUAACGCGUAAUCAACCUGCCCUUCAGCGGGGGACAACAGUUGGAAACGACUGCUAAUACCGCAUCCUGAAGGUGGGGAUUGCGUCUGAUUCGUUAGUUGGUGGGGUAACGGCCCACCAAGGGGAUGAUCAGGAGCCGGUGUGAGAGAAUGAACGGCCACAUGGGGACUGAGACACGGCCCAGACUCCUACGGGAGACAGCAGUGGGGAGUCUGCCGCAAUGGACGGAAUGCUGACGGAGCAACGCCGCGUGGGGGAUGACGGCCUUCGGGUUGUAAAGGUCUGUUAAUCGGAACGCGGUACCGGCAUAGAAAGCCACGGCGAACUACGUGCCAGCAGCCGCGGUAAUUC